UAGUUCUAGUAGUUGACGGACAACGGUAGUUUUUCAGGCUACAGGCCUAGGUAGAAACCCUAGUUGGAAUA
rnacentral:tRNA from 1 species